rnacentral:misc_RNA from 1 species
GGAAGGAACUUUAUAGAUCUGUGUUCAAAACCGUCAGACACCAUGUUCAUGAAGUCAUCCUGUUUCAACUUAAAUGUGUCAAAAAUCCCCUCAAUAUUACUGUCACGGUUUUCAUUUCUUUUUUCCCUAACAACAAUCAUAAAAAAAUCUUUUGCUUAGAAUUAACGAGCACAGAAAAACGCAUAUUUUUUAUUAAAUUUUCAUUUUUUUUUUUUCCAAACAUAUAAUUUUUUAUACAGAUAAUCAUAUUUUUUUAUUUGUACAGACUGAUUCGGUUUGUGCUUGUUGCACUUAUGUUGAUAAAUUUGUACUUAAUUAUUUUUAUGUUGUAGUUUGUAUCCAAUAAACAAAUAAUUUUGU